UUUUAGAGAAAAAAGAAUAGCUGUUUCCAUCCUUUAAAUUUUGUAUUUGGGAAACAAGGGGGAUAACCCCUUAUUCCCCUCCCAUGUUCUCCAACCAAACAAGGCCGAACAACUUUAACGGGUUGUUCUAAAAUAACCUAUUUUAAUCGGAAUAACUUGUUCCAUUCAAUUCUUCUACCAUUUAGUUAAUUAAUUUAUUAGUUAUAAUUAAUUAGCUAAUUAAAAAUUAAUAACUUAAUGUGUUUAUACAUAAACUAAUAUUUAUAUUGAUCAACCAAUAAUAUUUUGACUAAUCUAAUUAAUUUCUUCACUAACUAUCUAACUAAAAUAAUUUACUAACUAAUUAAAAAGUUAAAUUACUUUUUAUAUUUAAUUAAUUAAUUAAUAUAUUUUUAUUAUCAUAUACAAUAUUCAUAGCUAUAAAUUUAUUAGUUUAUUGAAUUAUUUUUAAUUAAUAUUUUUUAUUUUAAUUAAUUAAAUAAAAUAUUUUUAAUUUAAAAUUAUAACUCUUAUUCCCCCUGUUCCAAUUUAACCAUCCAAAUACUGUUUACCUUAUUUUCAGGAACAAACUAAUUUCAUCUAAAUACAAAAUUGGUCUAGUUACUGCUUACAUCUGAACAAUUGUACUUAUCCCUGAAAAAAGCAGUUCUUAUUUAUACCCUAAUGAUGCUUAAGAAUUAAGAACAAGUUUGUUCUUCUCUUAUUUUAUUAGAUAAAUAGAUAUAUAAAUAAAUAUAUUAAUAUAAAUAUAUCUAUGAUAAUAUAUUUAUUCUUAAAUCUUAUUAUAAAAUAAAAAUUAACUAAAGUUGAUAUAUUAUUUAUUUUAUUGUUUUAUAAUUGAUAUAUUAAUAUUUUAAUUAUUUUAUUUUUAUUAAGUAUUAUAUAUAUUAAAUUAUUUUUUAUAUAUUAUAUAUAUUUUUUAAAUUUGUAUUGAAAUUCAUACUAUUAUUAAUUAAAAUUAUAAGGAUAUUGUUAGUAUUAUAUUUUAUUCAUUCCAUAUAUUAUGGAUAAAUUAUAUAAAAUAAAUUUUUACAUAAAAUAAAUUAUUAUAUAAAAUAAAAUAAAUAUACUGAUAUAAAUUAAAAUGUUAUGUAAAAUAUUAUAUUAUAAAUUGUUAUAUAAAAUAAUUUUAUAAAUAAUUUUAUAUAAAAUAUACUAAUAUAAAUAAAUUAUUUUAUUUUUAAAAACUUAUUUAGACAUUGCUUUAAACUUUUUACCCAAAAGCUACUAAAGAUAUCCUCCAAAAUAUCCUUGAAUGCAUCCAACAAUUUACUGUUGUUCUAACUUAUUAAGUUAUUAAUUUUUAAUUAGCUAAUUAAUUAUAACUAAUAAAUUAAUUAAUAAUUUAAUACUAUAAUUAAAAUUAAAUUUAGAUUUUAAUUAAACUUAUUCCCACUUGGAACAAGUAUGUUCUAGGAACAUGGGCAGAUGAUCAGUUACAGACUUAUACCAGCUUAUUUUAGAGAAAAAAGAAUAGCUGUUUCCAUCCUUUAAAUUUUGUAUUUGGGAAACAAGGGGGAUAACCCCUUAUUCCCCUCCCAUGUUCUCCAACCAAACAAGGCCGAACAACUUUAACGGGUUGUUCUAAAAUAACCUAUUUUAAUCGGAAUAACUUGUUCCAUUCAAUUCUUCUACCAUUUAGUUAAAAAUUGGGGGAUAUCCCUCGUUGUUCUGGGAUACCCCUGGUACUAAAUGCAAUCUUAGAUAUCGUUUGGUUUGGGGAUAAACAAAAAGUUGCUAUUCAAGGGAUAGGUAUAAAUUGAGGUAUAAGCGAGGAUUAAAUCAAUUUUACGUUUGGAUGAAAAUUGGGUUAUUCCUGGGAAUAAAAAAAAUAGCAUUUGGUUAGAUAAGAUGGAAUAAGAAUAAAACUGGGUAGUUAUAAAUAAAAAAUAAUGAUAUUAUCCCUCUCCUUAUAUUUGAAUUUGAAUUUUUAAAUUUUAUAUAUAUAUAUAUAUAUAGUAAUAUAAUAUAUAUAUAUAAUAUAUAUAUAUAUUUAAAAUUUAAAAUUUUAACUUUUAAAUUUCAAAUUUCAAAUUAAAUUUUAAAAUUCAAAAUCUCAAAAUUUAAAUUCAAAAUUUUAAAUUUUAAAUUUUAAUUUCAAACUUUAAAUUUAAGAUCAAAUUUAAAUUUGAAAUAUAAAAUAUAAAAAUUUAAAUUUUAAAAUUUAAAAUAUCAAAUUUUAAAUUUUAAAUUUAAAUUUUGAAAAUAAAAUAGGGUGAGAACCAAGUAAUGAAAAAUAAUUUAUUAUAAUAAAUUUAUAAAUUUGAUAAUAAUAAAUUUUUUAAUAAAUUUAUAAUUUUUUAUUAUUAAUUAAAUUAAUAAUUUUUUAAAAUUCUACUUAAACUUAAAUUUAAUAAAAAUAAUAUUUUAUAAUAUUUAAUUAUAAUUUAUUAUAAUAUUUAAUAUUUAAAUAUAAAUAAUAUGUAUUAAUAUAGUACAAUUGAUAAUUUUAUAAUAAAAAUAAUAUAUUAUAAUAUAUAACUUAUUAUAUUUAUAUAAUUUAGUUUUAAUUUAAUUUAUAAUUUUAAUAAAGUUUGAAAUUAAACAUUGGAAUAGCACUAUUCCAUCAAAAUGGUUGAAUAGUAAAUUUCUUGCUAUUCCGGGAUAGCCGGGAAUAGCAAGGUUUGACCGGGAUAAAAUAUCCCGACCAAAAAUCAUUUCGUUUGGCAGAAUAGCGAUAAUAACUUUCGUUAUCCCCGCUUAUACCGCCAACUAAACGGGGCCUUUUAGUGAAUUAGGAACAGCUUUAUUCUUCUCUUUAUUUUAUUAAAUAAAAAAUAUAUAAAUAAUUUAUUAAUAUAAAUAUUAUCUUUAGGAUAAUAUAUUUUUUACCUAAAUCUUAUUAUAUAAUAUAAAUUAACUAAAUUUGAUGUAUUAUUUAUUUUAUUACGUUUUAUCAUUUAUUUAUUAAAAUUUAACUAUUUCAUUUUAUAUUAAGCUCACUACAACAGAAUUAGGUUAUAGGAUAUAUGUUUGGGACACUUUUGUGUAAGUGUCAUAUUUAUGCAAAAACUUUAAAAAAAGUCUACUAAUGCCUAAAUAUAAAGUCCAAUCCAACCAAAAAUAAAAGUUUACUCUACUCAACCUACCCCACCCAGCCCAUUCGGCCCGAUUACAAACAGAAAAGAAAAAGAAAAGAAAAAUCGAUUACCAUUUCUCCUUCUCCCCUUACUCAAUCGACUGAAAUCCUAAACAAAGAUCCCUUCCUUUCGUCCUCCUCCGCCACCGCAGCCAAUGAGGUAGAGUUCCAACGGUUGUUAAAUGUUUAAAUAAGUGUUGGCAAAUUAGCAGCACUCUUUUUAGGUUAUAACGAUACUUUUUAACUGUCACUAUGUACCUAGCGACCCCACAGAAACACUUUUUUAAAGUGUCGGUAAUUUAAUCAGCAGCACUUUUUUUGACCUGUACCGACAUUUAAAAGUGUCGCUAUAGAUCAUUUUUGUUGUAGUAAAUUAUAUAUUAAACUAAUUUUUCAUAUAUUACAUAUUUCUCUUAAAUUUGUAUUGAAAUUUAUUUUAUUACUAACUAAUACUAUAAGAAUAUUGCUAGUAUUAUAUUUUAUUCAUUAGAUAUUAUUAUGAGUAAAUUAUAUAAAAUAAAUUGUUACAUAAAGUAAAUUAAAUAUAUUGAUAUAAACAUGUAACAUAAAAUAUUAUAUUAUAAAUUGUGACAUCAAAUAAUUCUAUAUAAAAUAUACUGAUAUAAAUUAAUUAUUUUAUUUUUUAAAUAUAUUUAGAUGUUGCUCUAUACUUUUUACCCAAACACUAUUAAAAAUAUUGUAACACCCUUAAGUUUGUAAUAGUACUAUAUAUAUGAGAUAUAAUAGAGCUAAAUCUCUUAACCUGACUAUAAUAUUUUGAACGGUGACUAGACCCAAAAUGUUAAGAAAGUUAAGCAUGUUAACGCUAGAGUAGUCCUAGGAUAGGUGAAUCCUUGAGAAGUAGGCCAUCACAAGUGGUAUUAAAGUCAAUCACCAGUCGAAACUGUGAGAUGAGUUUCGGCUUACCCGAAGUUAUAUAGUGGGCAGAGCACUACUCCCCAACUAACGAUCGUUGUGGAUGGAGUGCGGCUCCCUACAAGGUCGGUUAAGGCUAGCGAGACGUGUCUCAUAUUCCUUGGUGUUCAUCAGUGUAUUUGAGCCUGACAAGGACAUCAGGAUUUAAAGAGGAGAAGAAUGUAACACCCCUAGGAUUUUUAAUAGUCCAUAUAUGAGAUAUAAUAGGACUAAAUCUCUUAACCCAGCUAUAAUAUUUUAGACGGUGGCUAUACCCAAAAGGUUAAGGAAUUUAAGUAUAUUAGGGCUAGAGUAGUUUUAAGAUAGGAGAAUUCCUGAAAAGUGGGGCGUCAUAGUUGGUAUUAGAGCCGAUCACGAGCAGAAAAUGUGAAAUGAGUUUUGACUGAGCUAGAGUUAUAUAGCGGGUAGAGCGUGACUCCGCGAUUAACAAUCAUUGUGAAUAAAAUGCGGCUACCCACAAAGUCGUACAAAGGCUAGCGAAACGAGUCUUACAUCACCUAAUACUUGUGAGUAUGUUUGAGCCUGACGAGGAUAUCAGGGCUUAAAAGGGAGAGGAAUGUAACAUCUGUAGAAUUUAGAAUAAUCCUAUAUAAGAUAUAAUAGAGCUAAAAUCCUAACCCGCCUAUAGUAUUUUGGACGAUGGCUUGACCCAAGAGGUUAAGAAAGUUAAACGUGUUAGAGUUAAAGUGGUUCUAGAAUAAAUAACUUUAUGAAAAAUGGAUUGUUGUUCUAAUUCUUAGAAACAACGAAAGUUAUUCUCCAGAAUAUAAAUAUAGUUCUGAGACCAAAUGCAGCCUUAGGUUUUGUGGAUCACAUAAAUUGGAUUAGAAGUUACCAACCAUUUUGAAAAUUCGGGGUUCAAAACCCCAGCUACCUGGGCAGUACGAAAAGGAAAAAAAAGAGAAAAUAGAGAAAGAUUUUAUUUCUUUGGCUUUAUUUAGAAUUAUAGGGAGAGUGCAUUAUAUACUGUGAGAAAUGAUGGUGAGAAAAUAUAAUGGGAAAAAAAAAAAAAAAUCAUUUGGCUACUUAUAAGUUGUCGCCUUACGUGGAUCGCAACUAUGUAUUCAUCUCCUUACAUUUUUUUUUGUUGUUUAUAACACUAAGAAACAGAGCCCCCAACUCACUUUGGCCGAAUAAUAUUACAGAACUCUAAUAUUACUCAUCAAAUAUUUUGUGCGGUACCGUAGGGAGUGUACGUACAUACUAGGUUCAAAGCAACAAUUUCUCUUCUCAUACAUCUAUGUCCUCUUCGAUUAGGGUGUGUUUAUUUCACCAAAAGUAAAAGUUAAGAGAUGUGAAUUGAUUUUCAGCUAUAAAUAUUUAUUUUUAUUAUUUAGUUUAUCAUAAUUUCAACUUGGAUAAAAAUUAACUCAAAACUUUUCAAAAUUGUGUAAUUUACGAAUAAAAAAUAAGAAAAAAAAAAAAAAUGUUAACCCAUUUCCAGCUUGAAGAUUGGUACCUUAUAUAGGUCCCAGGUUCGAAUCUUUAUUACUUUACAUAUCUAGUUAAGUUCAUUUCUAAAAAAAAAAAAAAAAAAAUUAAAACGGAUAACAUACAAUCUCUCUCUCUCAAAAGAAAAAAAAAAAAAAUAUUCAUAUCUCGUAUCUUCAACUUGUGCGUCAUUCACUUUCUAUCAAACAAAUAGUAAAACUAAGUUCCUAAUCUACUAGAGCAAGUGGCAAAAGGUUUGGUGGUUGGUACCCGAGACCUAAAUUCGAAUCCUAGUUGAUUCACAUUUUCAGCUAAGUUUAUUUCUAAAUGAAAUAAACGAAGCGGGUAGCGUGCUGCUACCUAUCUNUUUCAUCUAAACUUUAAUUCCUUCCUAAUCUACUUCAACCUAAAAUUCGCUUUCACUAAAACAAAUAUAUCCUCACAAUUCUCUGGGCAAGCCCCUCGAUCCCACGAGAAAAGGUCAAAGAUCACCGACCGCCCCUAGAGCAAGUGGCAAAGGGCUUGAUGGUUGGUACCCGAGACCCAAGUUAAAAUCCUAGUUGAUUUAUAUUUCCAGCUAAGUUUAUUUCUAAAUGAAAAAAACGAAGCGGGUAGCGUGCUUCAAAAAA
rnacentral:lncRNA from 1 species